GUAGUAGGACCCACACCGAUGAGGCAUAGAUAGUAAACAGCCUGGGAGAGGUUAAAUAGGGUUUUUCCUACAGAGAAAGUUUAGUUAAUCAAAGUCAGGCGCCAGUCCAUUGAGGACUAGACUAAGAAAGCCUUGAAGUGUUGUUUGAACCAUUGAAGAUUUGUUGUUUGUUCCAUAAUAAAGACUUUGUUGCAUCAUUAAAGACUCUAAAGACCAUCACUUCAGAAAAA